CCUACGGGAGGCAGCAGUGAGGAAUAUUGGUCAAUGGACGAGAGUCUGAACCAGCCAAGUAGCGUGAAGGAUGACUGCCCUAUGGGUUGUAAACUUCUUUUAUAAAGGAAUAAAACGAGGCACGUGUGCCUUUUUGCAUGUACUUUAUGAAUAAGGAUCGGCUAACUCCGUGCCAGCAGCCGCGGUAAUACGGAGGAUCCGAGCGUUAUCCGGAUUUAUUGGGUUUAAAGGGAGCGUAGAUGGGUUGUUAAGUCAGUUGUGAAAGUUUGCGGCUCAACCGUAAAAUUGCAAUUGAUACUGGCAGUCGUGAGGACAGUUGAGGUAGGCGGAAUUCGUGGUGUAGCGGUGAAAUGCUUAGAUAUCACGAAGAACCCCGAUUGCGAAGGCAGCUUACUAAACUGUGACUGACAUUGAUGCUCGAAAGUGUGGGUAUCAAACAGGAUUAGAGACCCUUGUAGUC
rnacentral:rRNA from 1 species